rnacentral:rRNA from 1 species
CCAGAGCUCAACUCUGGAACUGCCAUUGAUACUGAAGGUCUUGAAUUUAGUUGAGGUGGGCGGAAUACGUUAUGUAGCGGUGAAAUGCAUAGAUAUAACGUAGAACACCGAUUGCGAAGGCAGCUCACUAAGCUAACAUUGACGCUGAUGGACGAAAGCGUGGGGAGCGAACAGGAUUAGAUACCCUGGUAGUCCACGCCGUAAACGAUGAUUACUCGUUGUGCACGAUACACUGUGCGUGACUGAGCGAAAGCAUUAAGUAAUCCACCUGGGGAGUACGUUCGCAAGAAUGAAACUCAAAGGAAUUGACGGGGGCCCGCACAAGCGGAGGAACAUGUGGUUUAAUUCGAUGAUACGCGAGGAACCUUACCUGGACUUAAAUGUAGAUUGACCGGUUUAGAAAUAGAUCUUCCCUUCGGGGCAAUUUACAAGGUGCUGCAUGGUUGUCGUCAGCUCGUGCCGUGAGGUGUCGGGUUAAGUCCCAUAACGAGCGCAACCCCUAUCGUUAGUUGCUAGCAGGUAAUGCUGAGGACUCUAGCGAGACUGCCACCGUAAGGUGAGAGGAAGGUGGGGAUGACGUCAAAUCAGCACGGCCCUUACGUCCAGGGCUACACACGUGUUACAAUGGCCAGUACAAAGGGCAGCUACCUGGUGACAGGAUGCUAAUCUCUAAAGCUGGUCUCAGUUCGGAUCGGAGUCUGCAACUCGACUCCGUGAAGUUGGAUUCGCUAGUAAUCGUAGAUCAGCAAUGCUACGGUGAAUACGUUCCCGGGCCUUGUACACACCGCCCGUCAAGCCAUGGAAGCCGAGGGGACCUGAAGUUCGUAACCGCAAGGAGCGACCUAGGGUAAAAUUGGUAACUAGGGCUAA